UGGUGGGGGAAGGAGCGAGAUGCCGGCUCCUCGGUGACUGUCAGCUCAGAAAGCCCAUCGAGGCCUUCCAGGGACUCGCGGCCUAGGACAGACAUCAGGAAGGGCUCCAGGGCAAGCACAGACCGGAGAGGCCCAGGUGGCCCCCAGGGAGACAGAACCCCACUCCUGCUCCUGAGACGCACACAGCCUAUGGAGGGGAAGCUCACCCACAAAUUACUGCCAAGUCUGCAAGGUGGAACAUGCAGGGUUAAUGCGGUCCCAGCUCGGGCUGGAGGAAAUGAGGACAGGGGAUUCUGAUGACAGGCUGCUGUCACGGGGAGCUGGCUCUGCUCGGGGAGCAGCACUGCUUGCCAAGUGUGGAGGCCUCACAGCAGCCGUCGUGGGGCUCGGAGUCCCAGCACCUCAGAUGACAGGAUGACGUCGCACUUUGUGAAGCUGGGAGUGGUAACCUCCUCCUGUUCGUGGACGUCCAGGCUGUUUUCCAUUUGGGACUAUUACAACGAAGGUGGCGUCACCUGUGUGACUAUUCCCUCAGAAUAGAUUCUGAGCGUGAAAUCACCAAGUUAAAAUGUGUGAGGCCAGGUGCAGUGGCUCACGCCUGUAAUCCCAGCGCUCUGGGAGGCCAAGGCAGGCAGAUCCCUUGAG